rnacentral:rRNA from 1 species
CCUANGGGAGGCAGCAGUGGGGAAUAUUGGACAAUGGGGGCAACCCUGAUCCAGCCAUGCCGCGUGAGUGAUGAAGGCCUUCGGGUUGUAAAGCUCUUUCGCCGGGGAAGAUAAUGACGGUACCCGGAGAAGAAGCCUCGGCUAACUCCGUGCCAGCAGCCGCGGUAAGACGGAGGAGGCUAGCGUUGUUCGGAAUUACUGGGCGUAAAGCGCACGUAGGCGGCUCGUUAAGUCGGAUGUGAAAGCCCAGGGCUUAACCCUGGAACAGCAUCCGAAACUGGCGAGCUCGAGACCGGGAGAGGAGAGUGGAAUUCCUAGUGUAGAGGUGAAAUUCGUAGAUAUUGGGAAGAACACCUGUGGCGAAGGCGGCUCUCUGGUCCGGUACUGACGCUCAAGUGCGAAAGCGUGGGGAGCAAACAGGAUUAGAUACCCCUNUAGUC